AUAUAUUUAGUAUAAUUAAUACGUUUAUUUUCCAAAUAAAAAAUUUUGAUAAAAAUAUAUA
rnacentral:tRNA from 1 species